GUUGCUGCUGAGAUUGUUGUUGAUGGUGAAGCUGACGGUGAUGAUGAUGAUGGUGGUGAUAAUUGAGUGACGAGGACGGUGAUGGGCAUAGGCUACCGCCGCCACCUAUUUGCUGUUGUUGUUGGUGUUGUUGGGCAUCGUCGUGCGUCGGUGUCAAAUCCAAGAAGAGGCCGGAUGUCGCGGAAUCGACGCAGCUGCACGUCUCGGUAGCGGUCGCGUUGCAUCCCGGGCAGCAGUCGGUCUCCGUGGCCAAACUCAUCGGUGUCUCCGGCGAAUCCACGGGUCUCGUGCCAACGAACGAGCUCUCCAUCCAACACAGCUUCACGCUCCCUUCGAGGAUAAGUUUCAUUUCAUUAGAUGCGUGAUUGAAGAAGCCAUCGACGGGGCACGCGGUGUGAUAGUUACUAGUAUACUAGUUCUAUUGGGUGGCUUCUUUUAACGAUCUUCUACGAUUCUCUCUCGUGAGAAGCAAAACGUGGUAAUUUGCGUAAAAAGACGCGUUAAUUACGAUCGAUGUUCUUCAAAAUUAUAUAAUUAUACUCGGUUACCACGCUUUACAUUAUAUAUAUGUAUAGACGGAUGCUAAUUACGUACGAAUUUUGUCUUGACGAUCAUUCUAAUUAAAACCACAUAUCUCUGAUUAGAUCGUGUUAGUUAGAAGCUCUAACACGCAGAUAUUAAUCACAGCGCAAACAAAGCUGAUCGACACACAUAUACACGUUAUUGACAAUCAAUACAAUAGUUAGUGUAACAUCAUGAUGAGGCAUUUUCGACAUUAAUCGGGGAUGUUGCACGGAGAAUUCGACGAGCCCGCUUCAUGUUGUUUCUCGAUGUUGCGUCAUAUGUAUCAACGCAUCGUGAUUUUGCGCGAUAUAGCCAAGAUAUCGCGUGCAUCAUAGAAGCAUAUGACAUUCCGGGUAGUAAGAGCUGGCCACGUGAGUGUUAUCUUCGCUAACAUGUUUCCGAUGUUUGUUUUAAUUUAGUUCUAAGGUCGGUUGGUGUGACGGAUAAUUCACUCGUACUGACAAAACGGAGACAGAAGAGUGCGUGAAAACUUCAGGGUGAUCUAUUUCAGUGGCACGACGGCCAUGUCGGUACAAGGCUAUCGAAAUAGCGAGCGGCUGCCUGUGUGUGUACGUGUGUAUGUAUGUAUGAGUGCAACUUUCGUCGCGAGACUCGUCGCGAUUAAAGAUGAAGAUGGCGACACAUGUCUAGUGGUUUUCGGAUGAAACGCGAGAAAAAGAUGUCUGCCAUUGUGACAUCACUUCUUUUCCAUCCUCGUUACACGAAGUUCGACCUUGAUUCACGAAUUCGUAGGAUGAAAACACGAUUUAGUGUCAAGGCUAGUGUCGGCGAACGUAUCACGGGAAUUUUUGUGGCCAUGUUUUGUUGAUUCGUUUCGAUGUCGUGAAGACCAUGCGGGAGAUCUUUCGUUCGAGAAUGAUUCUUUACAUCGUUUCCUACGUGUAUUUACGUAUUUUCUGGUAUCAUUAUGAAUACCAUAGAAGAUAAUUGCUACGUGAUUUUCUCUCUCUCUCUUUUUUUAAGGUUUCACAGUUGAUGUUGCAACGAUAUGAAGAUAGGAAUGGUCGGUGAAGGAACAUUUGAAGGAAUGAGAGGAGAGGGGAGAAGACGAUAAAGUUUCGAGGAUAAUGUCCAAGUUGCAAGAAUGUUGACAUGAAUCUAGCGUGCGGAAGAUAAUUACUUUGGUCACUAUCAUCAUGUUACUUGACCCCUGAUUAAGCUAGUUGCAAUGCUGGCAGAAUGUAUGUUUAUUUACGACACGGUUUACAUCAAAAAGUCUUGAUUUUAAAAAUUUUGCAUCGUCAUUAAGUCUCAGUCUGUGGUCUCAACGACAACCUUUGCUCUACAAUUUUCACGACUGCUCAAAAAGUCUGCAGAGUCGAGACCGAGUUUGGUCGAAGAGAGAUCGACGUGUGUGCAACAUGAUAAAAACAUAUCAAUACAAACAGAGAUCAUAGCAAAAUGGAAUGGAGGACUCUCUCGUAUAUUAAGGAACAUUGUGACACCAAUGAAAAGAUAUUGCACUCGUGCGUGAAACCGGUGCAGCAUUCGCAGAAUGAAUGAAACUGCACGCGUGUAAGCACGUGUAUAUGCACGUGGGAGGUACGCUACAGUUUUUUUAAAUCGUGAAAGGUGAUUUCGUUGAAUGGACGCCCCGUUGAAAGCAAUUUUCGUUAGUAAACACAGGACACGACGAUGCACAUGUCGAGUGUUAUAUACGUACAUAUUAAGUAACGACACAACGAACGAUGAAAAAUUGAUUCAAACAACGAGACAUUCCGAUCUGGGAAGUUAGAUGAGCAAAAUAUAAAUAUAAAAGAAGAGAAACCCAGAGACAGACGAAAGAGAGGCGGUCUAAGGACACGAUAAGAUACAGAUGCAGAGAGAAGAAUUCACAUGAACAGACAUCAGGAAAACUCAAAAUUACCUUUGUCGUAGAGAGUAAAAGUAGUGAUGGUGUAGUGGUGGUGGUGGUGGUGGUGGUGGUGGUGGUGGUAGGAUGGUUUUUUUUUUGGCAGGGGUUGUUUAGUGCUCACCUCUGGGGCUGGUCGACCUUGCUCCGCCCCUGUCGUCCCAGUCUUCAGGUCGAGGUCGAGGCGACAGCCUGCCACCUCCACCAACCUCCUGACCGCUUUGCACGUAGUGCACAAUGGCCGAGGUUACCUCCUUUAUAGAGUUCCUUACCUCUAGCUGCUGAUUCGUUGUCUGCUGUUGCUGCUGCUGUUGUUGCUGCUGGGGAGAAAAAUUUUGAUCUGUACAGUUUUAAAAAUCACGUAAUAUUGAUGAAACACUUUUCUUGUCAAUAACUCUCUAGAAGGAAGGAAUGAACGAUGGCUAAAAUAAUCUUCUGAUAGUUAAUUGGGAGGAUGAUCUUUGUUACGUGUAUCAAGAUCAAGAUCAGUCGACCUGACUCUCUUAAUUGAACGAUUCUAUAGAAAAAUUGUAUUAUGUUAAUCGAGAUAUAAAUGUGUUAAACAGAUAUAAUAAUAAUUAAAUGUAUAAAGAAUUUGAUAAGUGUGUGCGUAUAUAUAUAAAUAUAUAUACACACACACAAAAUCAGUUAUGAUUCAACGUAACAAAUUAAUUAUUUUUUAAGCAUAUUGAUUAUUAAUACGAUUGUAAAAUAACGUAAUGUCGAAUGAUCAAUAUCUCGUUCAUAUCAUCAAUUAUGAAAUUCUUUCGACUUUUGAAUUAACAAUUAUUACCAAUACCAUUAUUUACUGUACUGUCGUCCUCUUUCCGCUGCAAACUCAAAGUUAAUGUAAAAUUUAAUUCAACUAAUUCAUUGAUCGAUUAAAUAAAUUAUCAUUUGAGAA